AUUGAACGCUGGCGGCAGGCCUAACACAUGCAAGUCGAGCGGAUGAGAGGAGCUUGCUUCUCGAUUCAGCGGCGGACGGGUGAGUAAUGCCUAGGAAUCUGCCUGGUAGUGGGGGAUAACGUUUCGAAAGGAACGCUAAUACCGCAUACGUCCUACGGGAGAAAGCAGGGGACCUUCGGGCCUUGCGCUAUCAGAUGAGCCUAGGUAGGAUUAGCUAGUUGGUGAGGUAAUGGCCCACCAAGGCGACGAUCCGUAACUGGUCUGAGAGGAUGAUAAGUCACACUGGAACUGAGACACGGUCCAGACUCCGACGGGAGGAAGAAGUGGGGAAUAUUGGACAAUGGGCGAGAGCCUGAUCCAGCCAUGCCGCGUGUGUGAAGAAGGUCUUCGGAUUGUAAAGCACUUUAAGUUGGGAGGAAGGGUUGUAGAUUAAUACUCUGCAAUUUUGACGUUACCGACAGAAUAAGCACCGGCUAACUCUGUGCCAGCAGCCGCCGUAACAC
rnacentral:rRNA from 1 species